rnacentral:rRNA from 1 species
UAAGGAAUAUUGGUCAAUGGGCGAAAGCCUGAACCUGCGACGCCGCGUGAGUGAUGAAGGUCGUAAGAUCGUAAAACUCUUUUCAGGGAUCUUAAAGCCUGUCUGUCAACAACAGGCAGGUCUGACUCUCCCUGGAAGAAGCCCCAGCCAACUACGUGCCAGCAGCUGCGGUAAUACGUAGGGGGCGAGCGUUAUUCGGAAUUACUGGGUGUAAAGGGUAUGUAGGCGGCCCUUCAAGUCGCGUGUCAAAGUCCAGUGCUCAACGCUGGGUGUGCGCGCGAUACUGACGGGCUUGAGGGCUGGAGAGGUGAGCGGAAUUCCCGGUGUAGUGGUAAAAUACGUAGAGAUCGGGAGGAACACCAGCGGCGCAGGCGGCUGACUAGAGAGUUUCUGACGCUAAGAUACAAAAGCGUGGGGAGGAAACA